rnacentral:ncRNA from 1 species
GGCAAACCCGUCGAAAGGCGGCGACGCAAAGCUAAAGGGCCUUCUUACGAUGGCAGCCAGUUGC